rnacentral:rRNA from 1 species
UUUAUGGAGAGUUUGAUCCUGGCUCAGGACGAACGCUGGCGGCGUGCCUAAUACAUGCAAGUCGAGCGAAUUUCAUUGAAAGCUUGCUUUC